rnacentral:rRNA from 1 species
CCUACGGGGGGCAGCAGUGAGGAAUAUUGGUCAAUGGACGAGAGCCUGAACCAGCCAAGUAGCGUGAAGGAUGACUGCCCUACGGGUUGUAAACUUCUUUUAUAUGGGAAUAAAAUGUUCCACGUGUGGCUUUUUGUAUGUACCUUAUGAAUAAGGAUCGGCUAACUCCGUGCCAGCAGCCGCGGUAAUACGGAGGAUCCGAGCGUUAUCCGGAUUUAUUGGGUUUAAAGGGAGCGUAGGUGGAUUGUUAAGUCAGUUGUGAAAGUUUGCGGCUCAACCGUAAAAUUGCAAUUGAUACUGGCAGUCUUGAGUACAGUAGAGGUGGGCGGAAUUCGUGGUGUAGCGGUGAAAUGCUUAGAUAUCACGAAGAACUCCGAUUGCGAAGGCAGCUCACUAGACUGCAACUGACACUGAGGCUCGAAAGUGUGGGUAUCAAACAGGAUUAGAUACCCCUGUAGUC